GCAGCNUGGUGCUGCCAUGGGGCGUGUAUGAAGAAGGUCUUCGGGUUGUAAAGUACUUUCCNNUUGGAGGAAGGUGUUGGGACAGNACCGGGCGAUUGACGUUUCUGGCCGAAGAAGCCCCGGCUAACUCCGUGCCAGCGGCCGCGGANGUACGGAGGGUGCCCUCNUUANUUGGAAUUUCUGGGCGUAAAGUGAACGCAGGCGGGCUGUCAUGUCUGAUGUGAAAUCCCCGGGCUCAACCUGGGAACUGUAUUCCCAACUGGCAUGAUAUAGUCUCGUCGACGGGGGUCGAAUUGGAGGUGUAGCGGNGAAAUGUUGAGAGACCUGGAGGAAUACCGGUGGCGAAGGCGGCCCCCUGGACAAAGACUGACGCUUAGGCGCGAAAGCGUGGGGAGCAAACAGGAUUAGAUACCCUGGUAGUCCACGCCGUAAACGAUGUCGACUUGGAGGUUGUUCCCUUGAGGAGUGGCUUCCGGAGCUAACGCGUGAAGUUCACCGCCUGGGGAGUACGGCCGCAAGGUUAAAACUCAAAUGAAUUGACCGGGGCCCGCACAAGCGGUGGAGCAUGUGGUUUAAUUCGAUGCGACGCGAAGAACCUUACCUACUCUUGACAUCCACAGAACUUAGCAAAGAUGCUUUUGGUGCCUUCNGGAACUCUGAGACAGGUGCUGCAUGGCUGUCGUCAGCUCGUGUUGUGAAAAUGUUGGGUUAAGUCCCGCAACGAGCGCAACCCUUAUCCUUUGUUGCCAGCGGUUCAUCCCGGGNACUCAAAAGAUACCNGCCAUUGAUUAAAAAUGGNGGAAGGGGGGGAAUAACAUUCAAUCAUCCUGGUCUCUUUCGGAUAAGNGCUUC
rnacentral:rRNA from 1 species